rnacentral:lncRNA from 1 species
UCAGGGAGAUAAGAUCUGAAAUUUUUCGGUCUGUUCCACUGUAAUCUCAGGGAGAUAAGAUCUCUGGCUUCAAUCUGAUGUGAUCUACUCUACUGUAACUUCAGAGAGAUAAGAUCCUUUAUUUUAAUCCGCUCCACUGUAACUUCAGAGAGAUAGGAUUACUAGCUUCAAUCUACUCCGCUGUAAUCUCAGAGAGAUAAGAUCUCUGGCUUCAAUCUGCUCCACUGUAACCUCAGGGAGAUAAGAUCUGAAAUUCUUCGGUCUACUCCCCUGUAACCUCAGGGUGAUAAGACCUGAUACGAUCUACUCUGCUGUAACUUCAGAGAGAUAAGAUC